GCAAUCACUAAUGUGACCCUGGUUGACGCAUUAAGAGGAGUCCUUGACCCAAUAGCCCACAAAAUUCUCCAAAGUGCCCAGAAGAAACGCCACCUGGAAGAUUUCCUUAUAGGGCUGGAGAAAAUGAAAGAUGGCGUCCCCCAGCCGGAGCAGAACGACUUGAUGCUCACCGCGGCCAUAUUUGUGCUGCCCAGCCUGGUGAAGGAACGGGUUGAGGCGUUUGUGUGCAGUCGCGAGCCUGAAGCGGUGCAUGUUGUACCGACUGUCACUUACACCGGCAACAUUCUGGAGCUGCCAGAGUUUACGAUCCAACUGGAAGCGCUGGAGAUCCAGGCGCCC
rnacentral:lncRNA from 1 species